UCGCCUUUAUCCACUGAGUCUUAUCAUCCAUAGACUUUGUUGAACUCUGAAUAUUCUCUUCUUUUUCUGAGGUUAGUUAGGAAUUUGGAGCACUAGGUAAUCUGAGCAACUUCCCAUUCUGGAGGAUAUGAGAACAUGGUUGGCAGUUGUUAUGAAGUAGAAAAAGCAGGAAAAAAAUGAUAAUAAGUGACCCCACCUCCCCAGUUGAUUGCCACAGCAACAAUCUGCCCAGAGAGAGACUGUUGAGCAUUCUCCUCCCACAUCGCUGCCUGGCUGCUGCAGACAGGACAGACUGUACCUGGAUAUGUGGUCAACUGCCUCCCGGAAAACCAGGGCUGACAUCACCAGAAAACAAUUAACCCAUAGCAGACAGUUCCACAGAAGAUGAGGAGUCACAGCUGGGUGAGACAAUUCUGCUCCCUUCAAAAGGAGGACACAGACACCUGCCUUCUUACCUCCCUCAAGAAACAAAUGCCCGAUGUCUCCGGAAUGACAGCAGACAAGAUGCCUCUUCAGCCACACCUCCCACUAAAGGUGGACCUACCAACAGCCAGCUCUCCCCUCCCCACGUUGCUCUGUGCCCGGAGGAAGUAGCCAGACUUGAGUCUAUGCCCUUUUUCCAAAGAGAGCCUAAAAUGUUAAUCAUAAUUAUCACUUCAAUCUCCUGUCACCCCUAUAUCCAAAGAGUUUGGAAUGUUAAGUUGGGAGCAUAGCCCCAGCCCCUAGCAUCCAUCCCAGCUCCUUGGCCUGGGAGUUGUAUUGGUCUGGACUCCAAAUCCCAGCACUCCCACAGGGUAUUUAAGUGGGCUCCCAGAGGAGAAACACAUGGUUUCCGGAUCUGCAUGGGCUCCCUGCUUUCCUGUCUCACUGCCAUGUGCUUGGCCACCUGAAUAAAAUGAUGGGUAUUUUGA